UUACCUGACCACCGUAAUGAUUACCAUCUAGAUUAGCGACACAUGUCUCUUCAAAUUGUUUUAUUUUAUAGGAAAAUUUUAAUAACAGUACAUGACAGAUAUGUCACUCUAAAUUUUGGUACAUUAACUUUCAAAAAUAUCAAAAUAAUGCAUGAGUUUCAAAUCUCAACCUAAGUUUAAUACAUGGUGUCAAUAACACCGUUAAGCUUAUGUAAUUAUUUAUUUUUCAAAAGGUAUUUUUGUACUUUAGCUAUUUCUAUAGAUAUGUGAUCUUCAUCUUGUUAUUUUUUCUUUAAACUUGAAAUCUACCAAAAUCUGAUUUUCUACGAGCAUUAUUGUGAUAUCAACAAAAGCAAACAAAUCACCUUGAAUCACGAUUAGACAUUUGUCUAAAUUAAUCAUGCAAAGAUAAAACAAUAUUAAUCGAAAAGGCACAUCUUCUGAAACCCAUUAGCCCAAGUCCUCAACUAUCUCCAACUCCUCCCUUGAAGACUCACCUUUGCAAUUCAACCAGUCUCAACAUAAUUAAACUCCUCUGCAAUAUCAACUCCAGCCAAGUGACACACAUCGCCAUAUCUGGCGCUCUCUCUCUCACUAAGAUCACCAACCACCUCCUCACUCACCAAAAGUAACAAAUUCCCAACACAACUAUUCAACCGAAACCAGAAGUUGAUGUCUCUCUCUUAAUUUACUCACUCUGCGGAGUUUCAUACUCCUAUGUUAUCUGAUCUUCUUCUUCUUUCUUCUCCUCUUCCUCCCUCCCUUCAUGAUAUCUAGGUUUGAUCUAGGCACUUAAUUAGAUCUAAUAGAAAAUUUCAUUAAAGUCACUUUCAUAACCUUUUUUGUAACACAAGUCCACCUUAAUAUUUUUACCCAUAUAAGUCCACUUUUAAACAUAAACCUGUCAUUUUAUUUUUACGAUGUUCCUAAAAUACCCUAUUUCCCUACAAAUCAUUUUUUCUCUCUUCUUCUCACGUCCUUUUCACUUCUCUCUCUCUCUCU
rnacentral:lncRNA from 1 species